rnacentral:lncRNA from 1 species
UCCAUAGUAGGAAAAACAAAUACGUAAAAAAAAAAGAAGUCAGUGGUGCUCAUCAACUGUUCAGAUCCCAACGUGUUUCAAAAUAUCUUCUUUUGUGUUCAGCAGAAGAAAGAAACUCGUACAGGUUUGUAUGACUUGUUGUUAAACCCGUACACCUUUAGCGCUGCUGCUGAUAAUCUAAUUAUGAGAAAAGCUAGAGUGUUCACAGCGUAUGCAACCUGAUGAUGAUUGUAGUGUUUCUUCACUGCUGACUGACUGAAUCUUUGUUCUGAGACGCAGUGAUCAAAUGUUUGGGAAUCGUCAGCAAAGCGCGGAGAGACUGUGAGGUUAGCAUUCAUUCAUACGACCGAUCUGCAUUUAUUUACUCCUCAAACACUGUUUUUCUCCUGACAGGAAGUGCAGUUUCCUAACGCGAGCCUCCCGAAGGCCUGUGUGCAGAUGUGUGAUGUGUUCUGGACAGUAAAGUAACAGACUGCUUGCAUUAUGACAGUAAGCGUGAUGUGAAGGCGCGCUGUGCAGCGUGGUGUGUGUGCGUUUGCAGACUCAUAUGUGUCCUAUUAAAGACCAAUGUGCAGUCCAGACAGUCAUAAGUUUGGCAGGAUCGUCACGAUUCUCUCAUCUCAGUGGAUUGUUGUUUCUCGUUGCCAUUUUCAAACAGGAUGAUCGCAGAGCAGAAGCAGACAAUGUGUCUUCUGAAGCAGCUGGAGACUGAAGCACAUGUCUCUGUUUUCUCUCCAUUGAGUCUCACUGAGAAAGACUUGAGAUGUGACCUCGCAGUAGCUCUGAUCUCUGGUCAGAAACAGACUGAUGAUCCUGCUUCAGAAGAGCGGUUUGACCCUGGUGACCUCAGACUGAGCGUGUUACUGAGCUGCCGGUGUGUAUCUUUAAAGCUACGGAUGGCUUUUGUGUUCAUUCCUGGUCUGUAA